ensembl:lncRNA
UAGUUCUGUGCCCCAAUGUGUGUUUUGUUUGGGCUCGAUAGUUUUUAGUGAUGAAUUUCACCCAUCACUUUCUCCACUGUGGUUGACCAAUGAGUUUUGUGAAAGCAUGGCCUGUGGUGUUUUUCUUUAAUAAGUCCAGAGGUGGUGCAAAGCAAUCGGGCCAUCAGUCAUCCUGUCAGGAUCUCACCCCCUUGAUUAGCUCAGUAUAUUGGUGGAGAUAUUUAACCUGCCAUAGAUGCCUAGGUCAUGAACCAGUCUGUACAUUCCUCAUGUAGUAGCUUUUAUUUUAAUCAGUCGAAAUAUUGUGUUUUUAUGUUUUCUUCUGUCACUCUUUGUUAGUCAUAUACUUGCAAAGCAUAAUAGUGAUUUUUUUUUUUUGUAGAAGUGCUGCUUUCUGUCUCCAUUUUAUAUCAUCAGUGUUACAAAGUUGCAUAACACCCGUUUUUAUUGAAACUGAAAUGUAAAUGUCCUAGGAAAUGUGAAUAUACAGCUUGAAACAGUACACCUGCUUAAACUUAUUGGUUUGCAAAAUAAUAUUAAGAACUAGUACUGUGUUAUUUAUUUAUUUCAUUAUGUAAGUAAAAUGAUGUAGGACGAGUAGUUGUUGAUCCUACAGUUAAAUAAAUGAAUGAAUAAAUAAAAAAUGGCCGCACUGUCUCUAGAGCUAAACCAACGAGUGCAACAAACUUGUGUGGUGUUUGGAUUAUAUUUAUGUACUUGUGUUAUAAAUAUAUGUUCUAUUUCCAUUGCAGAAGCAGUACAAUGUUUAUUACCGGAUGGGAGAGAGACGCUGGCACAUGCAAGUAGAGUUGGGAACAUGUGCUGGCGGGCCGCUACUCAGAGAGUCGAUAAGUGUUUGGCUCAGAGGGGAGAUGAGGGAUAGAGCAACACUGAGGAGCCACCAGCCUGGAGUCAGGUGUCAUUUCAAGGAAUGUAUAUACAAGUAGUCUUGGAUGUGGAGAAUGUCAACCUUAAUGAGAAGGAGGCAAAAGAGGCAGAACAAAGACGAGAUUUCUGAGCUACAGGUGGAGCUAGACGGGCCAAAGAUACUGCUGGAGGAUGAGAGGAGUGCAGUGGAUGGAAUGAGGGAGCAGACUCAUGGAUCUGUUGAAGACAGUAGCGUUUCUAUAGAAAAGAGCUGUGCAUGCACAGUAGCAAAAGCAAAGAGGCCUGAUUGGGAGUACUCCAUUGAUGCAACACACAGUGGCACAACAUAUUCUACUGAGGUUUGCACAGAAGCUCAGACAAGACCCCUGCAAAGACCCAGAUGUACAUCUAAACAGGGAUUUGCAUGACAGGUGGGAGAGGUCUUUGUUGUCAGCAUCAGCAGCCACAAGAGGAGCAUUAACUGUGAAGCUGCAGGUUCACCUGCAAGAGGGCGGGGAAUCGGCAAAUUGAGGUCAAAGCUACGCUCAAUGAGAAGACAGCAGAGGAGAAGACCUAGUUUUCGGUUAGCAGAGCAGAGAGCCGAGGGAGGAGGAGCAUCACUGCGAAAACCUUUGCCAGCAUUUGUCCAUCCAGCAGCCAGCAGUCAUGGCAGCUGGAUGGAGGUUCAGCUGAAGAGCUUGUCCUUGAAGUUACUUCACCCUUAAGAAGGCAAUUCUUGAAAUGGACAGACUGCAUCACUCCAAUGUGAGGGGCCUUUAACAUCUUAAUGAUUUUUUUUUUUCAAUCGUAUACACUACCUAUUUAAAGUAAAUAGUUCAACAAUUCUGUAAUACCAGACUAUAAAGGUGGAAUAUAAAUGUUUAUAAUGUUUGAUGUGUUUCUUUCCUUUCCUAGUCAGAAUGUCCUGAAUGACAUUUUUCGUGUUGUUAAGUUGAACAAAUUAUUGGCUUAAAGUAAUAAUAAUCUAUAUUUCAUGGUUAAGUUUCUUUACACUGUUUUCUAUAAAAGUGUAGCACUUUUGUUUGGAGUCACAAAAAGCAUCUUCUCCUAGAGCAAUAGACCCACAAGCCAAACUCCAAAAUCUUAAUGAGUGUACCCAGAUAGACAAGAAAUUGCAUCCAAAUAAAAGAAUAAUAAAGGCA